UUGGAGGGCAAGUCUGGUGCCAGCAGCCGCGGUAAUUCCAGCUCCAAUAGCGUAUAUUAAAGUUGUUGCAGUUAAAAAGCUCGUAGUUGAAUUUCGGGGUCAGUAGGUCGGUCGUGCCACUGGUAUGAACUGGUUUUACUGAUUCCUCCCUCUUGAAGAACUGUAAUGCCAUUAAUUUGGUGUUGCAGGGAAUCAGGACUGUUACUUUGAAAAAAUUAGAGUGUUUAAAGCAGGCUUUAGCUUGAAUACAUUAGCAUGGAAUAAUGAAAUAGGACGUUCGAUCCUAUUUUGUUGGUUUCUAGGAUUGACGUAAUGAUUAAUAGGGAUAGUUGGGGGCAUUAGUAUUCAAUUGUCAGAGGUGAAAUUCUUGGAUUUAUUGAAGACUAACUACUGCGAAAGCAUUUGCCAAGGAUGUUUUCAUUAAUCAAGAACGAAAGUUAGGGGAUCGAAGACGAUCAGAUACCGUCGUAGUCUUAACCAUAAACUAUGCCGACUAGGGAUCGGAUGAUGUUAAUUUUUUAAUGACUCAUUCGGCGCCUUACGGGAAAC
rnacentral:rRNA from 1 species